GAAAGUUUCUUUGGAGGUGAAAACAGCCGCGGAACUCCCGGCCCUGAGAGGGGGCGGGGGUGCAGGGGUCCCAGGGCCGGGCCGGGGUCUUUCCUGGCCCGGGGGAAACCGGCCCAGGCCUCCCGGGGGGGCAAUCGCCCAACAAAGGAUUCUUGGGGCGCCCGCCCUCGAGGACUUCCCCGCCCCCGGAUCCGGCCCCCCCAGCGCUCCGGGCCCGGCAUCCCGGGGCUCUCCAUCGCGGGGUACCCCAGUUCGCGGUCUGCCAUCGGGCAGCCCGGGCGCUACUCACCUCCGUCCGCGUCCGUGUUCCAGGUCCGGCCCGGAGCGGCCAUGUCCCACGGCCCCAAGCAGCCCGGCGCGGCCGCCGCGCCGGCGGGCGGCAAGGCUCCGGGCCAGCAUGGGGGCUUCGUGGUGACUGUCAAGCAAGAGCGCGGCGAGGGUCCACGCGCAGGCGAGAAGGGAUCCCACGAGGAGGAGGUGAGAGUCCCUGCGCUGAGCUGGGGGAGGCCCCGGGCUCCCGCCCCAGCCUCGAAGCCCCGCCCCAGGCUGGAUUUGAAUUGCUUGUGGCUCCGCCCACAGCCCAUUUUCCUCUGGAAGCUGAGACCCCGCCCCGUGCGAGCUGCCACGCCCCCGACAGUUCCUCUGCCACUCUAAGUCCAGGCCCCGCCCACCGCACAAUGCCAGCUCUGCCCACUCUAAGGUCCCGCCCACUUCCACUCCUUGGGGGCGGCACCCUCCCCUUGGUCCUGUAGGCCCGUUCUCCAGCAAAAAACCACGCCCACCAAGCAGAGGCCACGCCCACAACCGAAGUCAACGCCAACCCUGUGCUCAAACCUCGGCCCAUAGUUCCUCAGAUCCCCUCACCCGUGGCCAGGGAUCCCACUAACCCACCGUGUCCUGACUGCUGACCGGCCCCUACCUCCAUCUUUUCCGGGUUCUUCCUCCCAGCUAGUCCCCGCCCCCAUCCCCGCCCAUACGCGUUAGGCCCCGCCCAUGCCCCUCUGAGCCCUGCCCCAGUACGCCAGGCCCCCCUCCCAACGACGCAGCCCGGUUCUGCAGCCGGUGAAGAAACGCGGCUGGCCCAAGGGCAAGAAGCGGAAGAAGAUUCUGCCGAAUGGGCCCAAGGCACCGGUCACGGGCUACGUGCGCUUCCUGAACGAGCGGCGCGAGCAGAUCCGCACGCGCCACCCGGAUCUGCCCUUUCCCGAGAUCACCAAGAUGCUGGGCGCCGAGUGGAGCAAGCUGCAGCCAACGGAAAAGCAGCGGUACCUGGAUGAGGCCGAGAGAGAGAAGCAGCAGUACAUGAAGGAGCUGCGGGCGUACCAGCAGUCUGAAGCCUAUAAGAUGUGCACGGAGAAGAUCCAGGAGAAGAAGAUCAAGAAAGAAGACUCGAGCUCUGGGCUCAUGAACACUCUCCUGAAUGGACACAAGGGUGGGGACUGCGAUGGCUUCUCCACCUUCGAUGUUCCCAUCUUCACUGAAGAGUUCUUGGACCAAAACAAAGCGCGCGAGGCGGAGCUUCGGCGCUUGCGGAAGAUGAAUGUGGCCUUCGAGGAGCAGAACGCGGUACUGCAGAGGCACACGCAGAGCAUGAGCAGCGCGCGCGAGCGUCUGGAGCAGGAGCUGGCGCUGGAGGAGCGGAGGACGCUGGCGCUGCAGCAGCAGCUCCAGGCCGUGCGCCAGGCGCUCACCGCCAGCUUCGCCUCACUGCCGGUGCCGGGCACGGGCGAAACGCCCACGCUGGGCACUCUGGACUUCUACAUGGCCCGGCUUCACGGAGCCAUCGAGCGCGACCCCGCCCAGCACGAGAAGCUCAUCGUCCGCAUCAAGGAAAUCCUGGCCCAGGUCGCCAGCGAGCACCUGUGAGGAGUGGGCGGGCCCACGAUGCAGAGGAGAAGCUGUGGGCGCGGUCCUGCCACACCCCACCCCGUGGACGAGAGGCUGGGGGUCCACCCUUUGGGGCCUGGUCCCAUCCUGCACCUUGGGGGCUCCAGCCCCCCUAAAAUUAAAUUUCUGCAGCAUUCCUUUAGCUUUCAAUCUCCUCAGCUCCCUGAACCCAGAAAAAGCACUCGCUGCGCGAUACACCCAGAAGAACCGCACAGCCGAGGGUGCCCCUCCUCGGAGGACAGCCACACGCUACACUGGCUCUCCGGGCCACCCCCAGGACACAGGGCAGACGAAACCCACCCCCAGCACACGGCAGGACUCCCCAAAUUACUCACUACGGGGGGCUGUGCCAUAGGCCACACAGGAAGCUGCCUUGUGGGGACUUACCUGGGGUGUCCCCCGCAUGCCUGUACCCCAGAUGGGUGGGGGCCGGCUUUGCCCAUCCUGCUCUCCUCCAGCCGAGGGACCCUGGUGGGGGUGGCUCCUUCUCACUGCUGGAUCCGGACUUUUUAAAUAAAAACAAGCAAAAUUUGUGUUUUAAGCCUG
rnacentral:sRNA from 1 species